UACGUAGGGGGCGAGCGUUGUCCGGAUUUAUUGGGCGUAAAGAGCUCGUAGGCGGUUUGGUAAGUCGGAUGUGAAAUCUCCAGGCUCAACCUGGAGGGGUCAUUCGAGACUGCUAUGACUAGAGUUCGGUAGAGGAGUGUGGAAUUCCUGGUGGAGCGGUGAAAUGCGCAGAUAUCAGGAGGAACACCGGUGGCGAAGGCGCCACUCUGGGCCACGACUGACGCUGAGGAGCGAAAGCAUGGGUAGCAAACAGG
rnacentral:rRNA from 1 species